rnacentral:rRNA from 1 species
UACAGAGGUGGCAAGCGUUGUCCGGAAUCAUUGGGCGUAAAGCGCGUGUAGGCGGUCCGGUAAGUCCGCUGUGAAAGUCGGGGGCUCAACCCUCGGAUGCCGGUGGAUACUGUCGGGCUUGAGUACGGAAGAGGCGAGUGGAAUUCCUGGUGUAGCGGUGAAAUGCGCAGAUAUCAGGAGGAACACCAAUUGCGAAGGCAGCUCGCUGGGACGUUACUGACGCUGAGACGCGAAAGCGUGGGGAGCAAACAGG